GGUUAGAUAUUUAAACACUUUAAGACCCUGCUGCAUCACUGCGUGCCCUAACCUCAUUCUGCCUCUUUUGCGGUGCCCUAACCUCUCUCCCCUGUAAAAUGGACAGGUGUCAAUCGCCGGAGCAGUCUUCAAGAACGAGACGGACGGCAGCUUGAAGCUCGAUCUCGAUUCUCCUCCCUGCCUCUCUCCCAUAUUGAAAUGCACUAUUUCGCAGUUGUUGAUGACUAGGGGAAACUAAUCACGGAGUUCUCUCCCUUCAGUCUCGCGACCUGCGGCUAUUGCAACACUCUCCACUGGUUUUACCUUUGGGGAGAUCUACGCCUUCCUCCCAUUUGGUCGUUCAUCACUUUGCUUACAAGGAUCCCUACCUUUUUCAUUUGUAGAUCGAGAUCCAUCAGUGCUAUUCCAAGGAUUUGGGACUCCUACCUCCUGAUUCUCUGAGGAUCGAGCUGCAUUGCGGAGCUGAAUUUCAGGUAGCCCAUUACUUCAUUAAAACCGGUGAGUUUUUAUUUUUUUUUAAAUCAAAAAUUUAUUCUUAACUUCAUCACUGUUCCAGAAUAACGAACUCUAUCUUCUGAAAAAUCCUUUUUUUUUUUUUUUUUUUUCUGAAAUCAUUGUCCAUCUUGCAUUCUGGCUUUGUGGAACUUAUAAGAAAUUUGAGUGCGCCCAUUCUGCUUUUGCCAUCAUCUUCUUCAGUCCCGAAUUCCCGAUCAAGGUUUUAAAACUCGGGAUCGGUCUCAAACGAUUCCGGUCAGGAUCGGACGGAUCCAACUUACCAGUGGAUCGGUAUCAGAUCGAUCAGGAUCAGAGAUCGGUCUUGGCCGAUACUAAUCCGAUCCGAUUUUUAAAACUAGGGUAGGCCUGUAACGGACUGACCAUUUAGCGAUCGGUCUUGGCCCUUGGGUUUAGCCAGUGCUGACCGAUUAGAUAAACGGUUGGUCUGAUAUCAGUCCUGGGCUCCUGGCCUUAGUUGUGCAGACCAAUUAAGGGCCUGCCAACCAAGGAUUUAGGUAUCGGUCUCUGCCGAUGCCAAUCCGGAUCGGAUGGGAUCGGUGAGUAUCGGUCUAUUUUACCCUUGCUUUUUAUGAAAAUACUAAUUUUUCCUAUUUUACCCUUGAAACGAUAAUCCGGAUGGGGGAUCGGUCUCAGCCGACACCGAUCCAAUACAACCUAUGCUUGAAACCAUGCUACCAACACAAGUUAACACAGUUGACACCCCUAGCCUCAACCAUGGGUGAUUCGGAAGGCAAUUUCAUGGUUGAAAAGUAUCAAGGGGUAUUUUGGUGAUCGUACUUAGCAAUUCUGCAAGGGUAUAGAUUUGAAACCUUGCUUGUAUUAUAGAUUUGACCAUCUUUAAUAAUCAUUAGACUUCUAACUAUUAUAAUAAUAAUAGUAAAAAUAAUCAGACAUGUUACUCUAUUGUUGGGUCCUAUAACUCAUCAUUAUCGUAUCACAUCAUGAGAAUAGGUGUUUAUAUACUUUUAUAUAUAUAUAUAUAUAUAUAUAUGUAUGUGCCAGUGGAGAAGUAAUUUUUAAGGUCCCUUAUUCACAUAUCAAGUUUCAGUUCAAGUAGAAUUUGCUAAGUGACAAAAUAAAGCAUUGAAAUAUCAAGACACAUCUAUUAGUACUUUGGCAACUAUUAGAAUUUUAAUGAUUUUUUAAUGUCUUGUUUUGUCACUUAUUAAAUUCUAUUUGGGUUGAAAUUUGACAUGUGAGCAAGGGACCUUGGAGUAUACUUAUUUAAAAUGCUUUAGCCUCAUCUGACUUGCCACAUGGUGUACCAUGUCCAUAGAGAGAAAUUUUUGCACUUCUUAAAUUCAAACAUGGGAGAGUGUGCUCUAAGCAAGCUACAUAGGGAGUGCACCAAUGAGGAGCAAUGAAAUGUUUUCAUACAUAGGGGGUAGAAAGGUCAUUUCAUGUAAGGAGAGAGAGAGAGAGAGAGAGAAUGGGUGCUAGUGUACAUUCCACUACCAGCUAAGAGAACUUUUUCCCUUCAAAUUUUUAUGCUUUCAAUUUUUUCGGGGUUAUGUUUGGUAUAACCACAGUUGGUUAUAUCGAGCACAACUUCUCCUUGGGGUGCCCCAACUCCAAACUCAUUUGGAGAAUGAAUUGGACUCUUGUGUUGAUGAUCUACUAGUUGAUUCAAGAUUUGGGUGAUUGACCACAUUUAACUA